CUGUGCUUUCCGUCUCGGUCAUUCGUUCUGUCCAUAGACAGUUACAGAAGGAUUCAGUCAGCGGUUUUUUUAUCCAGCAUAGCAGGAGAAAGAAAAACUCGAGAUUAAGAAUCCCUUCAUCUGAAGACCUCUCUUUGGACUCUGGCAGUUUUUGUGUGUCACCGCUUGACUGUGGAUUCGGCUUUGAAGUGGAGAUGAUGGAUGAGCCGAUUCCUGAGGCAGACAGACAGAGAUCGUACAAAAUGAUGGCGUGUUAAACCAAAACAGGUGACACGUUAAGAGAAACAAUCCAGCAUGGCAGCGCUGAACAGACCUUGUAUCGUACACGCCGGGGGUCCGACACGACUGUCCGGAGCAGGACUGCAGCAUCAUCAGCCGGUGGUUCAUCUUCUCCAGGACUUCCUGGUCGAUGGUCUUUGCGAUGUUGGUCAGCUGGUAGGGGUCUGCGGUCAUGUUGUAGACUUCUACAAACACCUGCAGGGGGGGGCAAACAUCCAAACAAUGUCCCGUUCAAAGUGUACAC